UGGGAAAUCUUCCGCAAUGGACGAAAGUCUGACGGAGCAACGCCGCGUGAGUGAUGAAGGAUUUCGGUCUGUAAAGCUCUGUUGUUUAUGACGAACGUGCAGUGUGUGAACAAUGCAUUGCAAUGACGGUAGUAAACGAGGAAGCCACGGCUAACUACGUGCCAGCAGCCGCGGUAAUACGUAGGUGGCGAGCGUUGUCCGGAAUUAUUGGGCGUAAAGAGCAUGUAGGCGGCUUAAUAAGUCGAGCGUGAAAAUGCGGGGCUCAACCCCGUAUGGCGCUGGAAACUGUUAGGCUUGAGUGCAGGAGAGGAAAGGGGAAUUCCCAGUGUAGCGGUGAAAUGUGUAGAUAUUGGGAGGAACACCAGUGGCGAAGGCGCCUUUCUGGACUGUGUCUGACGCUGAGAUGCGAAAGCCAGGGUAGCGAACGGG
rnacentral:rRNA from 1 species